CCGGUGCAGAGGAAAAUAAAGGCUCGCGAGCGAAGGAGGGCGGCGGAGGAAGAGAAGGAGAAGGAGAGGGAGCCGCAUCGGGGAGGUGGAGGGAGGAGGAAGCUGCAGCGGACCAGGUCUAGCCCGAGUCCAGCAGAGGUAACUCUCGUCCCCACUUGUUGCCCUUCGCCACCCUCUUCGCUCGCCGUUGGCCGUCCCUCUCCGCCUCUCGGUGCUGUCCCACCUGUCGCCCUUCGCCACCCCUCUUCGCUCGCUGUCAGCUGUCCCUCUCGGUGCUGCUACCGGCCGCAGUCGACGGUGAAGGAGGGGAGCAGCCGCGGCGCUCCGGCGAUUCGGACGCGGGCUCGAAGGACAGGCACUCGCUAGCGAGGCGGGUGGCCGGCAGGGGGUAGGCACACGAAGAAGAGCCCUGCAGCUGCGGUGCCUCGAGCAGUUCGAGGGAGAGACGACGACGUCCUCCUAACCUAACCUAACCGAAGAUGAACGAGAUAAUAGAUAAACUCCUUAGACUCUACGAGAGACAAGCACAAGCGCGAGCACGUUGAGGGAGAGACGACGACGUCCUCCUAACCUAACCUAACCAAAGAUGAACGAGAUAAUAGAUAAACUCUUAGACUCUACGCCGGGAGGUUUAGAAGCCGGGGUCUUCCUCCUAAACUCUCACCUCUUCCCAGUGGACUUACACUAAACCUCCUUCCUCGACAGGUCCUUAGUUUUACAAUAAUAAAAUGAUAAGACGUCCCCUCUUAGAUUUCUAAUAAACAAAGAAAAAUACGGAUGUCUAGCACAAAUCACAAACCCUAAGUGUGGGACGUAACUAUUCCAGACUUAAAUUGUAGGUGAAAAUUGUGACCCAAGGAGUUCACAAAGUCAAGUAUGAAACGGCUGCAUGUUAGAUAACCGGUGUAAAAGACCGUGUGAAUAAGGUUGACUUCAGUCGAGGACGAACGUGAAGAGGUGACUCACUUACGAUUAUCAAGAUUUUUCUAUUUGGUGGGUAUCUUAACCAAGAUUAAUCUAGGAUACUUUCUAGGUUCGUCGAUCUCAUGGAAUCAGGUAUCCUCAGGACCUUGACCAAGUCUUCAAGAACUCAUUUGACCUAGUCACUCUUAUAAUUAACUCAGCGACGAGUUCUUUGUUUCAUCUUAUUGCUGUCGCAUUGAUUAUGGUAAACAGGGACGUACUACAUAAAACUAGAGUUUACGUAAACUUACCGAACUAAAAACGUCUCUAGAACAGUGGACGCGGGAACAAACCAGCAUGUAUUUUGACAGUAGAACGAAAUUUAAGUUCACCAGUCCAUAAACUAUCAUGCGUACCGACUUGGGUGGAAAACAACUUAAACCCUUGGCAGAUUAUAUCGAUAAAAAAUUCUUCUUCAAACUUGUCUAGAGUCAUAUACAAUUAAAACAUCUUGAUUUCCUCGGACUGACUGAUCCAUUAAGGGUCGCUUGACUUCGUUGAUCCGAACAUCCGUACACAUGACAUUUGUCUUGGUUCAAGACGUAUAUAACAUAAACGUCUUUUACAAAA
rnacentral:rRNA from 1 species